AGCUGUUCCCCUCUGGAGGUUAUAACCUUCACACUUUAAAGGGCCUCGGUUUUCCGAUGGCCCUAUUUUUUGCGACGC
rnacentral:misc_RNA from 1 species